rnacentral:rRNA from 1 species
UGCUCUUGACAUCCCGAGAACCUCCGGUAAUGCGGAGGGUGCCCUUAGGGGAACUCGGUGACAGGUGCUGCAUGGCUGUCGUCAGCUCGUGUCGUGAGAUGUUCGGUUAAGUCCGGCAACGAGCGCAACCCCUGUCCUUAGUUGCGACCACGUAAUGGUGAGCACUCUAAGGAGACUGCCGAUGCAAAUCGGAGGAAGGUGGGGACGACGUCAAGUCCGCAUGGCCCUUAUGAGCAGGGCUACACACGUGCUACAAUGGGCGGUACAAAGGGCUGCGAACUCGCGAGAGUAAGCGAAUCCCAUAAAGCCGCCCUCAGUUCGGAUUACAGUCUGCAACUCGACUGUAUGAAGU